UGCACAUAUGACUGUAGGUCGCUUUGGAUAAAAGUGUCUGCUAAAUUCCAUGUA
rfam:Salmo salar isolate Sally breed double haploid chromosome ssa16, whole genome shotgun sequence.